UUUUCGAAAGACGCGUGCAAAAGACGAUCUUUGGCAGUGUGCAGGAGAACAGUGUGUGGAGGAGAAGGAUGAACCACGAACUCGCUGCACUUUACAGCGAACCCAGCACCCAGCUAAUGGAGGAGGCGAUUCUUCAGUGUUAAACAUCAAGAAAUCCCAUUGCAAUUUUGCAUACAAACUUUAGAGGCACACAUCUCACGAACGAAGCAUUGAACCAAGCCGUACUUGAUUUUCCUGGUUUUGCUCACUUGUAAAAAGAGGCAGCUUUUCCAAAUUGAGCGCAUUUGUUCACGAUUUUUUAAGAUUUGUGCUCUUGAAAACGUGAGUAGGGGUCUAAGUCGGCCAUUGUGGCAGCCAUAUUGGUAUUCUUUGAAGUUUCUCCUUAAGCAGCAGUGCGAGGUAGAUGCACCAAGCAUGCCCGUGCACAAGGGCGGGACUUUGGGGGUUAAACCCCUCCCAUUGCCGACGUGUUGCGCCCCUCGGGCGAUACGCACCUACCAUCGCAUCACCUUGGUUCGUCGACCGUCGGUAGAAAUGACGUUCCAUUGUCCGAAUAGGCAGCUGACGUGGUCAUUGGUUUGACAGAGAGCAGAAAAACACAGAAGAAUGCUGAUUCAUGUUGAUGUUCAGUGAGAAAUCUACAAUUUGUAAAAUUAUAACUAGUUUCUAUUGGAAUACUUAGCUAUCAGUGCUGAAGAUUGGUGAGGAGUGAAGUAAUUACCCACUAUUUGUUUGAUCAAUUCGAAGAAUUUAAUAUUUGUUAUAUUUAGAUCAAUAUUACUCCCUUUGAUUCCCGGUCCGCAAUCGUGCCCAAUUCAUUAUUCUAUGGUUUGGAAACUUCAUAGAUUAUUGGGCUUAAUUGAGUGCAAAGGGGUAAGAACUAAACCUAAAACAUGCAUUUGAAUUGAUUAAAAACUUAUCCUAAAUGUUUAAAAACCUAAUAUUACAUGCAGUUUAACCUAAAUACGAAGGAGGCUUCAAUCAGCAGAGUCGAGGUAGAAGAGAUUGCAGGAGGCACUAAACGUAAGGUGAAAUUGAUUGUAUCAUUAAACCCCAUAUUAACUCCCUAUCAUUAUAUUAAAGGAAAUUUUAACCAACCAAAAAUUCCUGUGGUGGUUCAAUCUUUCGGAAGACAUCCCCUCCAGUUGGCGCGGCCAACAAAUUAAAAUUUCGUUUACCCCGGAACGAUGUCGGAUCCAGGUAUGGAUGCUGCAAAGAAGACCAAAGGUAAGCAGCAGAAGUCUCCUCCUAGUAUAAGGUCAGUAAAUAAAGAACCCCCCAAAGACCCGUCUAAACAGACCCAGAACAAAGCCUCAAAAAGCGACAUCGUCGCCAGUUCGACCUCUAAACCUCUAAAUCCCCCUAAAUCAGACCCUCAAGCCACCAUUUCGGCUGAAAAGAGUUGUGCGUUGUGCGAAAACCCGGUCAAUGAGCGUAUGGUGCAAUGCAAUACAUGUGACGUGUGGCAUCAUUUCUCGUGCGUGGGUGUUUCCGAGGAUAUCAAGGGCUACAAUUGGACCUGCUUGAAAUGCGAUACCGCGAAGGCAGCCAAAGGUGCGAUUCCACGGAAGAUGAUGACGCGAGCUGCAGCUGCAAAAGGUACAAAGAAGGCGAAUCGGAAGGAGGGGCAGAUAGAUGGAGUGAACGAGCAGACGAAAGAGGCCGAUGAGCUAGCCGGUGCAGUCGGAGGGCCAGCUCCAAGCUUGAAAGCGAGCCGGGCCGGUUCCGUAGUUUCAGCAGCAUCACGAAAGUCAGCAAAAGCUCGUUUGGACGUGGAACUGCAGCAGAUCAAAGCUGAGGAGGAGUUGAUGCGAGAAGAAAUGCAACGGAAGCGAGAAUUGGCGAAGAAGAAGUUCGAGGUCCUGAAGGAGAUGGCUGAUCUGGAAGGUAGUGGCGAAUCCGCUGUUGAUCAGCCGAAUGUCGUCAAUAAAGUUGAGCACUGGUUGAAGCGUCACAGCGAGAUCCGUGAAAAGGGCAAGCAGUCGUACAAGGAAGCCAGAGUUUAUGAUUCUGAAGACGGCGUGGAAACCGAGGUUUCGAGCGAAAUUUCAGCGUCUGGUAGCGAAUCAGAUAGUGACGAAGAGACGUCGAUGGACAGCGGAGCGGAUCGAGAUGGUAGAGCAGAUGGAGCGCAAUCCGUCGGAGAGCUCGUGGGGCGAAGGCAUCUCAGGCCUAAAAUGACCUCGACCAGGAAGGUCCCGAAAGGUGGAAGUAGCAACCGAUCUGGAACGGAGCGACAACAAUCAUUGCGGAGCGACAGGAAGCUUUCGAAGGAUGAACUAGCAGCCCGUCAAGUUGUUCCUCGUGAACUGCCGAAGUUUAGCGGUAAUCCGGAGGAAUGGCCGAUGUUUGUGUCAACGUACGAAGAUACUUCAGUCAUGUGUGGAUACACGGACGCCGAAAACAUGAUUCGCCUCAGGAACUGUCUGAAGGGAGAUGCGUUCAACGCUGUCCGAAGUUUUUUGAUGCGGCCUGAAACCGUGGGAAGAGCGAUCAGUGCGUUGAAGCUGCGGUUUGGCAGACCGGAGACGAUUAUCGACUACUUAAAGGAUAAAAUAAUAGCAAUGCCGAUCAUCAAGCCGGAAGCGAUGGACAAGCUGGUCGACUUUGCGCUGGAAGUUCAAAACCUCUGUGCUACGAUAGAAGCUUGCGGAGAGAAGCAGUACAUGUGUGAUACGACGUUGCUGAAGGAAUUCGAGAAGAAGUUGCCACCGCAAAUUAGACUGGACUGGGCCCGAUACAAGAGGAAGUUGCGGAAAGCGAAGCUGUCCACGUUUAGCCGGUGGAUAUACAACCUAGCAGAGGACGUGAACGUGGUUUUCGAGCCGCAGUACCGUGGAAGCAAGACGCAGGAGUUCAGAGCAGUUCGUAAGGAGAAAUACGUUAACACUCACGCAGAAGUUUCAGUCAAGGAAAGAAGUCAGCCAGCUCGGACAACGCAGCAGUCAGCAAUUGUAGGAAGCGGAGAUAACAAACCCUGUCCGGCCUGCAAAGGCGAUUGCAAAUGUCUGGCGAAAUGCAAGAGGUUCCUGGAGUUGUCUUAUGAGUCAAAAUGGGCGACCGUUCGUGGUUUCAAUUUCUGCCGCAAGUGUCUUCGGCAGCACAAAGGUGGCUGUAAUUCUGGGGAAUGUGGGAAGAACGGUUGCACCUUCAAGCAUCACGUAUUGCUUCACAAAGAUUUCGCUGCACCUGCUACAACGAGCAAAGACACGUCCAACGUAGGCGGAUCUCCAAAGCAGAAUGAAGAACGCAAUGUCAACACGCAUCGAUCGGAUACGGGUCCAGGUUCAUUUCGCUAUUUGCCGGUGACUCUGUUUGGCGACGGAGUACAAGUCAGAUGUCACGCCUUCUUAGACGACGGAUCGGAGUUAACUCUCAUCGAUCAGCAGCUUGCGGAGGACCUGAAGCUCUUUGGAACGGUUAUUCCCCUCUGCCUGAAAUGGACGGGUGGUACCCAUCGCUACGAAUCCGACUCACAGAGUAUCAACGUCGAAAUAUGCGGAAAGGAUGGAAAGCGGACGUUAUUGCAGGACGUGAGGACUGUCGAAGAGCUGCAACUGCCGUACCAGUCACUAGAUAUGGACCAACUCUCGGAGCGGCACGGCUACCUGCGUGGUCUGCCCGUGGACUCGUAUUGUAACGUUCGUCCACGAAUACUGAUUGGAUUGAAGCAUGCCAACCUAAUGCUGGUGCGAAGGAGUCGUGAAGGCAAGAUGGGUGAGCCAAUCGCCGUCAAAACCAAUCUUGGCUGGACUGUAUACGGUGGCUGGGCAUCGCAGGACUCUUCGAGUACAGCCAGUCAUACGUACCACAUCUGCUCCUGCAACGAACCAGGCCUGACGCAUCUGAAUCAGAUGGUGAAAGAUUACUUCUCCAUGGAUAGUUUGGUAGUUCAACCGAGUAACGCUGGACGGCUUUCUAAAGACGAUGAACGCGCCAUGGCUCUUCUGGAAUCUCGCACUCACUUCAACGGAGAACGUUACGAAGCCGGCCUGUUAUGGCGGUCCGACAAAAUCCGUCUGCCGGACAACAAAGCAGUUGCAGUUCGUCGUUGGAGAUGCUUGGAAAAACGCAUGGAGAAGGACACGGAGUUAGCGAGCAUCCUGCAUGAAAAGAUUGCGGAAUACAGAUCGAAAAACUACAUCCGCAGGCUAACGUCGGAGGAGCUGUCAACAAAAUACGAGCGGGUAUGGUACUUGCCCAUUUUUCCGGUGUACAAUCCGAAUAAGCCAGGCAAGGUCCGGAUUGUGUGGGACGCCGCCGCCCAAGCAUACGGGAUAUCACUGAAUUCGGUGCUCCUCACUGGCCCAGACCAGUUAGCGUCUCUUGUGGGCAUCCUGUACCAAUUCCGUGAGCAUCGAAUAGGCGUUUGUGCCGACAUCCGUGAGAUGUUCCAUCAGGUCGACAUCAAUCCUGAGGACCAGCAAUGUCAGCGUUUUCUUUGGCGUGACCGCGACGAACACGGUGAUCCAAGCAUCUACAUCAUGCAGGUAAUGACAUUCGGGGCGAGCUGUUCUCCUGCCACAGCCCAGUUUGUGAAGAACAAGAACGCCGAAAGAUUCGAAGAAGAAUAUCCAACAGCGGUAGCGGUCAUCAAAAAACGACACUACGUGGAUGACAUGGUUUUCAGCGUUGAAACGGAGCAAGAAGCAGUUGAACUGGCGGAGUCGGUGCGUUUCAUUCACAUGGAGGGUGGAUUUGAAAUCCGCAAUUGGGUUUCCAAUUCUCCGUUGGUGCUUUCCACUAUGAAUGGAGAAGAGUCAACGGAAAAGGACCUGAACAUAUCUGCGGAGGUGGCGAGUCAAAAAAUCCUCGGAAUGUGGUGGCAUACGAAAAACGACGUGUUCAAAUACAAAAUAUGCUGGACCAGAUUUGAUUCGGCGCUGCUUGAUGGAAGUCGUUGCCCUACUAAACGGGAGAUCCUUCGGACGCUGAUGACCAUAUACGACCCUCUAGGUCUCAUCGACCACUUUCUGGUGUUGCUGAAAAUCUUGCUACAGGAAGUUUGGCGUGCUAGUGUUGACUGGGACGAACGAAUUCCCGACAACCUGUUCGAGAAGUGGCGUGACUGGCUACAAUUGCUACCCGAGGUAGAGAAAUUACGGAUUCCUAGGUGUUACCGGCAAGUUGUUUCAUCCUUGGACGCAGCUUCCAUCGAAAUUCACGUAUUCGUUGACGCAAGCGAAAGUGCAAUGGCAGCGGCAGUGUUCUUGCGACUCGUAGAAGGGAAUCAAGUGGAAUGUUCGUUGAUUGCUGCAAAAACUCGCGUAGCACCGUUGAAGUACACCUCUAUUCCACGGUUAGAACUACAGGCUGCAGUCUACGGGUGUAGAUUGGCGAAGAACGUUAUAGGAAAUCUGACGGUGAACAUCUCCAAGUGUACCUACUGGACUGACUCCCGAAACGUUCUGUGUUGGUUAAAAGCCGAUCAUAAACGUUACAGUGCUUUCGUCGGGUCAAGGGUAAGCGAAAUACAAGAAUCGACAGACGUCCGCGAGUGGAGAUGGGUUCCGACUCGUUCUAACGUUGCUGAUGAUGGAACAAGAUGGCGAGAUCGACUCGACUUGUCAGCGAGUAGCAGGUGGUUCAAAGGACCAGAAUUCUUGAUGCAAGCGGAAGAAAAGUGGCCAACACUUCCACAAAAGUUGCUUUCCACUGAGGAAGAAAUGCGACCCAGCGUGUUGCUUCACUUCAAAGUUCCCGAACCUGCGAUAGAUGUGGGAAGAUUUUCGAGUUGGCGGCGAUUGCUAGCGGUAACUGGAUACGUCCUUCGAUUCUGCUUGAACCUUCAACGUCGUCGUAGUCAGCAUCCACUCAGAACUGGACCGUUAUCAAGCGAAGAACUUCGGGAAGCGGAGGAACACCAUUACCGGCAAGCGCAACGAGAUGUGUACCAGGACGAAGUCGCAGCGCUGGAGACGAAAGAAUCCACUAUCAAACGUAUUCCAAAGACGAGUCCACUUUACAAGUUGAGCCCGUUCGUUGACGAAUCCGGUGUAAUGAGGAUGAAGGGGAGAACCACUGUGUGCGCGUAUUUGCACAGUGACGCCAAGAAUCCUGUUAUUCUACCUCCAAAGCAUCCAGUAACAUCAUUAAUAUUAGUCCAUUACCACGAAAAGUUUUUGCACCGCAACUACGAAAUAGUAGUCAACGAAGUCCGCCAGAAGUACAGCAUCUUCCGCCUGAGACAAGCCCUUACUGCGAUUCGUAGAAGCUGCCAGUGGUGCAAAAACCGUGACGUUCUUCCUCAACCGCCGGAAAUGGCAGAUCUUCCUGCGGCCCGACUGUCUGCGUACACAAGGCCAUUCGCACACGUAGGGGUGGAUUAUUUUGGCCCAAUUGAGGUAACGGUAGGUCGAAGGGUCGAGAAAAGAUGGGGGGUUCUACUGACUUGUUUAACGGUAAGGGCCGUUCAUAUUGAGGUAGCGCACUCUCUGACAACUAGUUCCUGCAUAAUGGCAUUGAGGAACUUCACGGCACGUAGAGGUACACCGGUCAGCUUUUACAGCGACAGGGGUACCAAUUUUGUGGGCGCAAACCGGGAGCUUCAGGAAGCCAUGGAAGCGGUUAAUCAGAACCGGCUGAUGCGUGAGUUUGUCACCUCAUCUACUGCUUGGCAGUUCAACCCACCGGCGGCGCCCCACAUGGGCGGCAGUUGGGAGAGGCUCAUCCAAUCGGUCAAGCGAAACCUGAUGGAAGUUCUACAUGCGCGACGACCAACUGAUGAGGAGCUGCGCAAUGCGUUGACGGAAAUAGAAGGUGUGCUGAAUACACGCCCUCUGACACACGUGUCCAUUGAUGACGAAGCAGCACCAGCGUUAACCCCCAAUCACUUCCUGUUGGGUUCAUCGGACGGUUCCAAACCUUUGUCUCUGGUUGAUGCGGAUACUGCUGCACUACGGCGAGGUCACCCAACCUCCCAAUGGUUGGCGAAUCUCUUUUGGAAGCGAUGGGUUAGGGACUACCUACCCGACAUAACCCGUCGUACAAAAUGGCAUGAGCAGGCGAAACCUCUCCAAGUGGGUGACGUAGUAGUCAUUGUGGACCCUGAGCACCCCAGAAGCUGUUGGCCCAAAGGACGGGUCAUCGGAGUAACCAGCAGUGGAAGACAAACUCGUAAGGCUACCGUGCAAACAUUGCAUGGAAUCUACGAGAGACCUACCGUGAAGCUGGCGGUGUUGGAUGUUCGGCGCGAGAUGGAGUAAGCGGAACUGGAAGGCCAGGUCCGCGUACCGGGGGGGAGUGUUGCGCCCCUCGGGCGAUACGCACCUACCAUCGCAUCACCUUGGUUCGUCGACCGUCGGUAGAAAUGACGUUCCAUUGUCCGAAUAGGCAGCUGACGUGGUCAUUGGUUUGACAGAGAGCAGAAAAACACAGAAGAAUGCUGAUUCAUGUUGAUGUUCAGUGAGAAAUCUACAAUUUGUAAAAUUAUAACUAGUUUCUAUUGGAAUACUUAGCUAUCAGUGCUGAAGAUUGGUGAGGAGUGAAAUCAAUAUUACUCCCUUUGAUUCCCGGUCCGCAAUCGUGCCCAAUUCAUUAUUCUAUGGUUUGGAAACUUCAUAGAUUAUUGGGCUUAAUUGAGUGCAAAGGGGUAAGAACUAAACCUAAAACAUGCAUUUGAAUUGAUUAAAAACUUAUCCUAAAUGUUUAAAAACCUAAUAUUACAUGCAGUUUAACCUAAAUACGAAGGAGGCUUCAAUCAGCAGAGUCGAGGUAGAAGAGAUUGCAGGAGGCACUAAACGUAAGGUGAAAUUGAUUGUAUCAUUAAACCCCAUAUUAACUCCCUAUCAUUAUAUUAAAGGAAAUUUUAACCAACCAAAAAUUCCUGUGGUGGUUCAAUCUUUCGGAAGA